UACGGAGGAUCCAAGCGUUAUCCGGAUUUAUUGGGUUUAAAGGGUGCGUAGGCGGCCUGUUAAGUCAGGGGUGAAAGACGGUAGCUCAACUAUCGCAGUGCCCUUGAUACUGAUGGGCUUGAAUACACUAGAGGUAGGCGGAAUGUGACAAGUAGCGGUGAAAUGCAUAGAUAUGUCACAGAACACCGAUUGCGAAGGCAGCUUACUAUGGUGUCAUUGACGUUGAGGCACGAAAGCGUGGGGAUCAAACAGG
rnacentral:rRNA from 1 species